UACGUAGGGUGCAAGCGUUGUCCGGAAUUAUUGGGCGUAAAGAGCUCGUAGGCGGUUCGUCGCGUCGGCUGUGAAAACCCGGAGCUCAACUCCGGGCCUGCAGUCGAUACGGGCGGACUCGAGUUCGGCAGGGGAGACUGGAAUUCCUGGUGUAGCGGUGGAAUGCGCAGAUAUCAGGAGGAACACCAAUGGCGAAGGCAGAUCUCUGGGCCGUAACUGACGCUGAGGAGCGAAAGCAUGGGGAGCGAACAGG
rnacentral:rRNA from 1 species